rnacentral:rRNA from 1 species
CCUACGGGAGGCAGCAGUGGGGAAUAUUGCACAAUGGGGGAAACCCUGAUGCAGCGACGCCGCGUGAGUGAAGAAGUAUUUCGGUACGUAAAGCUCUAUCAGCAGGGAAGAAAAUGACGGUACCUGACUAAGAAGCCCCGGCUAACUACGUGCCAGCAGCCGCGGUAAUACGUAGGGGGCAAGCGUUAUCCGGAUUUACUGGGUGUAAAGGGAGCGUAGACGGCAGCGCAAGUCUGGAGUGAAAUCCCAUGGCUUAACCAUGGAACUGCUUUGGAAACUGUGCAGCUAGAGUGCAGGAGAGGUAAGCGGAAUUCCUAGUGUAGCGGUGAAAUGCGUAGACAUUAGGAGGAACACCAGUGGCGAAGGCGGCUUACUGGACUGUAACUGACGUUGAGGCUCGAAAGCGUGGGGAGCAAACAGGAUUAGAUACCCGGGUAGUC